CGUGAGCAAUCUGCCUUGGAGUGGGGAAUAACGGUUGGGAAAACAGGCCGCUAAUACCGCAUGAUACAGCUAUCCCGCAUGGGGUUGGCUGUCAAAGAUUUAUCGCUCUGAGAUGAGCUCGCGUCUGAUUAGCUUGUUGGCGGGGUAACGGCCCACCAAGGCGACGAUCAGUAGCCGGACUGAGAGGUUGGCCGGCCACAUUGGGACUGAGACACGGCCCAGACGCCUACGGAAGGCAGCAG
rnacentral:rRNA from 1 species